GAGAUCCCUGUCUACCUGAGAUCUUCUGAGGAUCAUGUCCAGACAGAGUUAAUGUGGACCUUUUAAAGGGCAGUGUGGAGAUCUGUAUUGAGCUGAAAUUUUUCUUGGAGCCUCCAGCAUAUGGAGCAGAACUUUGCAGAACUCCAUGAUAACUGCAGCAAGAUUCCAGAUCAGGUACGACAAGGAAGCAUUUGCUGACCAUCUACUGGGGGAACCUUGGAGAAGAGCUUGCUCAAGGAAAGCAUACACUACGAAUUUGCAGCAUCUAUGCUAGUUGGAAGGAACCAUUCAUUCCUGGAGAACAAGGCAGGAUCAGCCUCCAGAGAACUGCUGCACUGCAAUCAGAGAUUUUCCUGGAGAAGUACCAACUGCAGAAACACAACUUGUCAAUGAAAUCCCUGACCAAACCUCACCACAAGCAUUAAUUAUACUAAUUAGAACUGCUGCCAGUGGAGAAUAAAUAUCACAUGCAACUUAUCUCAAAGCGUCAGAUUAUGUGUAUUCAUCGUGAUUUCAAAGCAAGAAAGACCUGCUGAAUUCAACUGAGGCCUAUACAUUGGUUCUGUUCAUCUUGCAGGUAUGAAAAAUUCCCAUCAGAAUCCUGUACCAAAGGAGAAGGUAAACAAAGACUCUGCAGAAAAAGGAACAACUUGGAGACAUCAUGUGACAUGAAACCUACAUUUCUGUGCAAGAAUUUUAUGUUCCAUUUCUUAAAUGUGUGUCUUUUACUUUACCUAAGUGUUUUUAAAAUAAUAAUAGUUACUUAAUAAUAAUAAGUGAUUUUCAUACUUAGAGCAUAGAGCCAUAAAGUCACUUUCCAUCUUUAAAUCCAUACUUACAUGUGCACACAUGGACACACACAUCACAGCAAUUUCCCUGAUAAGCAGCCUGAACUUUCAGCUGAACCAACAUUCCAGUCAUGAUGUCACUGAAAUAGCAGUGUUGGGCUAACCACAAGUACAUGUGGUAUCAGAAAUUAAAAUUGACUUUGUUUGGAAAUCUGGCAAGAUCCUUCCAAGAUCUGACACAAUUGCAUGUUAUUAUCAGUCAUCUAGUCUGAAAUCCAGGAAUCUUGGGGAAUUUACCCUGUGCAAGAUAGACUGAAUUCUUUUUGAGUUCUUUACAAACCCACAGUGUUUUUAAACUUUAAAGCUGCAUCUGUGUUUUGCUUUGUACAUCCUCUUUAUUCUUAUAUGUCUGCUAGCUCUCUAUGUGCCCCUAAAAUUUCAAAAUACCAUUGCAUAACCUUCAAUAACCAUUUUGGUUGAGAAAAAUAGCGGUUAAGCGAUCAGAUAAAAAUGUAGUACCAAGUAAGUAAUAACAAAAGUUAUAUAAACCCUGUGUUUUUGAGGUAUGUUUUGCUUCAAGAUGAUUUUGUUUGAUACAGAACUAUAAAAAACACCUCACCAACCCCCAAACCUGUCUGUUUUUCUGUAUCAGCUUUUCUGUGAUCCUGCUGUGACUCCAUGGACAGAAGUCUCAUCCUCAGCUUAAUGACAUGGAAAACUAAAAGGAUAUCCCCAAACACUGCUUUUCAAAAAGACUGCCUUAUCAAGUGAAAUAAAUUAUAAAUAUUCCCUAAACUAUUCGAAUUUAUUUGGAAUGAUAUCUUCACUCUUGCAUUUGGCAGACAGUCCACUUGCUCCUUCCAUCUCCAAACAACAAUGUUAGUUAGAAUUAAUAAGUACUGGUUAUGAUCCAGCCUAUUAACGUAGCAAGAUCGAUCCAUGGGGUGUUUUAUAGCUUGUUAAAAUUUUAUUAGCUAACGCAGAUCAUCAGUAAAAACUGUUUAAUUGGCUAAUUGCUACAGCUGUUUCUGUCAGUGAUGCUUGUGAUUCUUUCCAUGUAUACAAUAAUGUCUACUGAAAAGCCUGACAUUCAUCUUUACAGGAGACUCUUACUGAAGUUUGACAUUAUGUGAAAACACAGAUGUUUCUCCUCUCUUAACACCUCUUAUGAAAAACACCAGAUCAGGUUAAAGCUUCACACAGAACAGUCUUUUUCUAAAAACUUAGAAAAUUAAAAAAAUUCAGAGUCUUUCACUGUCUUGAUUUGAUAUGCAGUGACCUUGGUUUGAUAAGCAGCACUUUGCUGGGCUAAGUAGGGAUUACUACGGCGUCUCACAGUCUUUGUUCAA